rnacentral:sRNA from 1 species
AUAGAAACACCGGGCGGCAGGAUGAGAACCUCAAGGUUCGACUUGAGCGCGCAGCGCGAAAGAACGGCGCAGCGCAGCGAAGCCGGCCCGGAGGGCGAGGCCGCAGGCCGAGUAAUCCUGCCGCCCCAGCCA